rnacentral:rRNA from 1 species
GACGAACGCUGGCGGCGUGCUUAACACAUGCAAGUCGAACGAUGAAGGAGAGCUUGCUCUCCGGAUUAGUGGCGAACGGGUGAGUAACACGUGACUAACCUGGCCCUUUCUCUGGGAUAACGCUCCGAAAGGAGUGCUAAUACCGGAUACGAACUCUGAACACAUGUUCGGAGUUGGAAAGGUUUUCGGGAAGGGAUGGAGUCGCGGCCUAUCAGCUUGUUGGUGAGGUAACGGUUCACCAAGGCGACGACGGGUAGCCGGCCUGAGAGGGCGACCGGCCACACUGGGACUGAGACACGGCCCAGACUCCUACGGGAGGCAGCAGUGGGGAAUAUUGCACAAUGGGCGAAAGCCUGAUGCAGCGACGCCGCGUGAGGGAUGAAGGUCUUCGGAUUGUAAACCUCUUUCAGUAGGGACGAAGCGAAAGUGACGGUACCUAAAGAAGAAGCACCGGCUAACUACGUGCCAGCCGCCGCGGUAA